GACCGAAUAGUUUAGAGGUUUAGAAUCUUCGUUUCCCAUACGAAGGACUCGGGUUCGACUCCCGAUUCGGUCA
rnacentral:tRNA from 1 species